CCAGGAGUGACCGGCCGGGGGCGGGGCCACGGGGCCGCGUGGGGAACCCUGCGUCCCGCGCCGCCGGCUCCCUCCGCCCGGAAACAUGGAACUGUGGAAAAAUUCGGCCUUUCUCUCCCAGUCCGUAGAUCUCUGUGCGCGAAAGGGGAAAAAUGAGGUGACACCGGUGCCACUGGUCCAGGACCUCAUUUUGAGAACCUGUGAUGCGCAGGUGUUCCUCUUGCCCAGUGAAGCAGGCAAAUUGGAGCCAAGAGCUGGACAUACCUGACUCCAAAGAAGAGAUGGGGAAAGAGUCCUGAAAAGAAAAGUGGAAACAGGGAGACCAGGACAGGGACCAAGAAGGGACAGACUGGAGAAGAACCCUCUGCCUCCUGGGGAUUUCUGUGCUGUUUGCUUUGUGGUGGCUGGCCAUCAUUACCAAAAUGCAGUUUUAGAACAUUUCCAUUAGCCCAGUAAGUUUCCUCCUGCUGGUUUUUGCUUAAUCCCUUCUCCCAUCCCAAGCCCUUGGCAACCACUGAUCUGCCUUUUUCUCUAUGAAUUUGCCUUUUCUGUGUGU